UCGCUAAUAGCGCAGUGUGUUAAUUUCCUAAUUUCUACUUUUCGAGUUACAUUUUGGCUUGUAUAGCGUGUUGGCGCCUUCUUACUGACAUCAAUAAAUACAAAAAUAUGACUAAGUCGAAAGUCGACAAGACGGUAUACAAGCCAAAAUGCAAGUCGAAAAGUAGAAAUUAAGAAAAAACGGGGGGCGCUGUUAUCGCGGUGUGUUAUUUCUUAAUUUCCUAUUUUCGAGUUGAUUUUGGCUUGUAUACCGUCUUGUCGCCUCACAUUUUGUCGUAACUUCUACUUUUCGACUUUUCGACUUUCGUGUUCUGAAGAGGCGAAAAGUAGAAAUUAUGAAUGGUAGUUAUAGGCUUCCAUAGAAAAUAGUUUAGGAGCCGGGGAAUAUAUUGAACACGGCUUUAGUAAAGACGUCACACAAAUAUAUAAUUAAAUCAUGAACAAAGAAAGGGGAAGAAUGUCAGUUGAGCAUGACAGAAUAAUACAGCAGAACUAUGUAUACUUGUUGGAUAAUCUAGAUGCUAAGCACCUAUGCCCGUAUCUCCAUCAGUGUGGCAUCCUAUCGGUGGAUGAAAUGAACGAAGUGAUGACUGAGGAAGAAUCAAGGGGUAGAAGACAGAGUGUUGUGAAGGUUUUAGACAUUGUUAGAAGGGCUGGAAGCUCGGCCUUCCGAAACUUUAAACAAAGUCUCAUUGAAAGUGGAUACAGCUCAGUGGCUGAUAAAUUAGAGGGUCCAACUUUAAAUGCAAAUAAUCCACCCCAUAAUUAUGUUCACGAAAAAAUAAAAUGGAUGGAACGUUCUAUAAAUCAACAUAAAGAAGAACUACAAGAUGUGAAGGACACACUUAAUGCCGAGAUCAACAGAAGAAAGUCCGAUGAGGAGCGUGAUAAAAUUAAGAAACCGGGGAGCUUACUAACACCAUUUAGGAAACUCAAAUUGAACAAGGAGAAAACUGGAAAAGAAAGGAGUGCAACCACAGACAACCUUAAAACCAAAGUUAAGGAAUUCGAGAAAGCACCCGUACGUAGACGAAGCUUAGAAGAAACGCAGACGUCAGAAGUAAUAAGAUCGUUAAAAGCAGAAAACUAUUCGUUAAAGUUGUGGAAAAGCACAAGAGAGUCUGGUAAAAAAUUGGAUGAAUUGCAGGACAACAAUGUAAACAUGAACGCAAAAGUUAUCACGUUAAAAGCUCGUCAUAUUCUGUACAGGUAAUGUAAAGAAUGAAUGAAAUGAAUGGGAUUUAACGGUACUACUUUUCUGUUCCAACCGAGAUAAUGAAAAGGGGUAUAAUCAUGCCAUGCGGUGUGUCAUGAGUGAAAUUGUGUCCGGACGCAACUGAAUCACAAUCGUCAAGGGUUCUUUUACGUUCAAGCCAAUGUUUACACUAGACCUCGGUUUUAUCGCCCCACCUGUUCCUUGCAAGUGUCCGUGUACUUUCAUUGCGUCAGCUUUAAAAAGACGUUUAAAUAACUCUUACUUUUCCGUCCUUUAGGAAGUAAUAGUUGUACAGACCUGAAUUUCAAUGGGUGUCUGGAAACAACUUUAAAUUUGUUGUAUUUUGUCGGCACCCUAUUUUGUCUGUCUGACUGCAGUAAUCCAUAUAUUUCUAAACUUGUUUUUUCUAUUGAAAGAAAGAACUAUAGUGAUGUUCAACUAUUUUUAACAAGAAUUUCCAGAGUUGUUCAUGGUUAUUAUGAAAUCUUGUUAGCACCUUAUUGAAAGGAAGAUCAUAUUGGCUUUUAAUGAUUUUCGAGCAAUUUCAUUUGUUGCGCAAUCUUAUAUAAUCCCCUCUAGAGUUAUGCCCCUUUUUGUUGUAGCAUGUCAGAACUUUAUAGAUACUGUUGUCUAUCAGCCCUAAUGGUGGCUCGUUCACCAGAAGUUCUUAGGCUCGAUCCCGGCGUUCGCCGAGAAAGUUUCUCUGGAUUUUCCGGGUUCGUUUCCCCAUUCGGAUGGGACAAAAACCGAGGUCCACUGUACACAUUAGCGUGCACGUAAAGAACCCUUGACAGUUGGAUUUCAAAAUGCGAGAAG